UAUGUCCCUAGGACCGCUAAAGUGGGUAUAUCUUGCCAUGCUUUUCUCAAGCCAGUAAUAUUUUUUAAAAGACACUCUUAAAUGCCUAAAUUCUACUCCCAGCAAAGCAGUUGCCCAGCACUGAUUUAACUUGUAGCAAUUCUGAUUUCUACAUAAACUUCUGUUUGUUUCCUUCUAGGCAUUGAAUCUGUACGGUUUCUUGGAGAAAAAAAUACAUGAAAAAUAUUGAUAAAACACUUAAAAUGUUCUUACCCUGCCUUAAGUUGAAUCGUGUUCCUAAUAAUUUUACUAAUCUCUUAACUUUUCUGAAAGAAUACAAUAGCCUUCCUGAAAAGUCUAAAACUAAAAUAUAUGGUAAUAAAGUGAUGCAUUUUUUAAGUUGUUGAAGAACUAAGAUUUUUCCAAGCUUUUUUUUUUUCCUCUUCUUCUUUCUUAGCAUCAGAUUGAUCGGCCACUGUCUUUGUAAAGUCUUCUUCAUUCUCCUCAGUCCAAGGAUGUAUUUCAGAAGGCUCAGAGAGGAAUAGAGACCACUUUGAUACUUACAAAACCAGGGGCACAAAAGAUCUAUAUGAUGAAAUCUCUAUUAAAAUAAAAUGGGUGAUUGCCUGAAAAGCACAUAAGAAAGAGGACAUUUUGCACCAUACGAAAAGACUGUUCACCAGCUGUUCACUGUCAGAGAAAAAGGACACUUCCAGCCCUUAAUUUCAAAUCACAAGUGGAAAAGGAGAAAAGGGUGUCAAGUGUCUGCUCACACUUGAAGUUAUGGUCUUCUCCUAAAAGAUGGGUUCAAACCUUUCCCAAGAGAGGAUCAGUCUGAUUCUUGGCUCACUUCAUCCCAGGCACUACUCUGUUGGAUAUCCCUCUGCUGAGCUACGGAAAAAACAUCAUUAUUUGGAUGGCGGGAACAGCAAUCCUGCCCUCCUCCAUCCAGUCUGCCAGAGACCACAGCAGCAUGCAGAGAAACUGCUUGUUUCAGAAAAGGACUGGUAUUUCUUUUUAUUCAGCUGUGAUGCUUACUUUUAACUUUAUCUGUAUUCUAAACAGAAUGGAGAAAUCUUUUAGGAGCUAUGUCAUGGACUGCCAUAGCAUAAGUGAAGGACAAAAUACACAUUAAAGUCAGUCAUCCUUGCACUUGUUUUUCUUAAUGCCUAAUGAGGGAUGCUGGCAGAAACAAAAAUUAUUGCCCCCAGGAUCAGCUGGGGGCCAAAUAAAAGACAGCCCCAUUCUCCA
rnacentral:lncRNA from 1 species